AUCUCCAAGAAACCAGCCUAAACUCAAUUUCAUCCAAUCGCCAUUACUUUAAAUCAGUGAAUCUGCAGAUUAUUUCAUUCUUCAAAUCAUUGUAGACCUGGCGCCCAUUUUACAAACUCAAGUUGGAACCUGACACUGUCAAUUCUGUAAUGUCAGCGUGGUAAAAUAAAACAGGAACCUACAGGUAAAGACUGACCAUCACGCGCCAUAUUUUACGAGUUUUUUGUGUAGGUAUUCUAUAGUAAGAUGUUUCUUCUUCAUCUAUGUUAAUUCAAUUACAUAUUUUCAAAAUGUGUCUUUAUUUCAUUCGAAUUUCUUUGAUCGCAGUAUUUUACGUCAUUAUUGUAAGUGUUACAUUAUUUCUAAAAGACUGUUUUAAUUAAAUUAUAUUUAAUGAU